rnacentral:rRNA from 1 species
GACGAACCGUCCAAACGUUAUUCGGAAUCACUGGGCUUAAAGCGUGCGUAGGCGGCCUGCAAAGUUGGGUGUGAAAUCCCUCGGCUUAACCGAGGAACUGCGCCCAAAACUAGUGGGCUUGAGGGAGAUAGAGGUGAGCGGAACUAAUGGUGGAGCGGUGAAAUGCGUUGAUAUCAUUAGGAACACCGGUGGCGAAAGCGGCUCACUGGGUCUCUUCUGACGCUGAGGCACGAAAGCUAGGGGAGCGAACGGG